ensembl:lncRNA
UGCAGCUCUUUGCCAGUGCACAUGGCAAUAGAAACACAGCAAACAGCACAUACAGCUGACCCAGAAGGAGUACAUCCUUUGAUUUACACUCAGCAGCAGCUGGAGACUCAAGAGAACAUUUUUUCUUCUGAGGAGGAUCUAAGAUCCGUGUCUGCCUCAUCCUCUACCUCAGCUUCACCCUUGCCUCUUAUGAAUUGGGACCUGCUUCACACAUUUAAAAGCACUCUGACCCUGCAGAGGAUUUCAUCUCUGCUGACAGAUACAAGUAGCCAAAGCAGGGGACAAGAAGAAGGGCACAGACCCCACUCAUCAGCUGGUGUUUUCCUAAAUAUCCCUGAGCUGGUGCUGACACCAGAUGGCGCCACAGAGCCUAUUUCCUUCAGCAGCUUGAACAAAGACAGCAUGGUAGAGCUGAUGCUUUCUGCACAUGUGGGAGAAGAUGAUGAAGCAGAUGUUUUUCUGGAAGAAGAUACUAUCGGGGGUGACGGGGUUUCAAGACCUUCCACAUAUGAAAGCCUUCUUUCAGACACAAGUUUCACUGAGGUAGCCCCAACUCACUGCGUCCAAACAAUGAAACCUCAUCGGCAAGAGGAACCACAGGGAUGCUCCAGCCAACACCUCCCCUGUACCCCAGCUGAAACAACCCACGACAUGCUGACAGAUCUUCAUCAGAGCCUUGUUUUGGAUUGGUCUAUACCCAGGAGCUCGCCAGGGAUGGAUGACAAGGGACCUUCUCUUGUUCUAGGUCAGCCUUAUUCCUAUGGACUCGUCAAUUUUUUGGACUUCACUGCAAAGCAAAAAGGAGAAAACAGAGAUGGAAAUCAGGCGGAGAAAGAUGAGCCUGCAGGUUGGAGCAGUUCUGGGAAGGUUUCCCAAGGAGCCAUAAGGAGUGGCAGAGCAGGAUCGAGAAAAGGCAAACGAGUGAAGAGAGCAUGAUCACCUGCAAGACAAAGAAC